UACGUAGGGUGCAAGCGUUGUCCGGAAUUAUUGGGCGUAAAGAGCUCGUAGGCGGCUUGUCGCGUCGGCUGUGAAAACCUGGGGCUCAACCCCGGGCCUGCAGCCGAUACGGGCAAGCUAGAGUUCGGUAGGGGAGACUGGAAUUCCUGGUGUAGCGGUGAAAUGCGCAGAUAUCAGGAGGAACACCGGUGGCGAAGGCGGGUCUCUGGGCCGAUAUUGACGCUGAGGCGCGAAAGCCAGGGGAGCAAACGGG
rnacentral:rRNA from 1 species